UCCAGCUGAUUCCCUCCUUUCCAGCUGAUUCCCUCAGCUCCACCCUGCCUUCCUUUGUGCCACUGGGGAGCCCUGGAGAUCAAAUCCACCCUUCUGGAGCCAAAGGAAAAGCUCCUGCUCUGAUGAAGGUUUCCCCUGAAGGCUCUCCAGAGGCAGGCUUGUAUUUGGGAGCAUCAGCAAACCUGGCAGAGGAUUUGUCUUCGUGGGCAGGGACAGAGUGACUUUCACCCAGAGGUCCGUCCUUGGUCCACCUGGACAUGAAGCCAUCCUGGAGCACCCAGAACAUCUCUACAGGUAUGAUCUGAAGCAGUUGUGUAAAAAAUGACAACAAAACCUUAUUGCUGUGUUUGAGAAAGGUCCAAAUCCAGCUUUUUGGAGCUUCAACUACAGGAAGAUACUGGAUAAUGAUACAGAUCUUUAUGCACAGGAAGAUACUGGAUAAUGAUACAGAUUUUAGGCACAGGAAGAUACUGGAUAAUGAUAAGGAUCUUUAUGCACAGGAAGAUAUUGGAUAAUGGUAAGGAUCUUUAUACACAGGAAGAUACUGGGUAAUGGUAAGGAUCCUUAGCCCAAGGAACUAAAGGAGAGGAAAUGCUUUAGGGAUGGAAGAAUAAAACUCUAUUUAGGGAUGGAAGGGCUGUAGAAGCAGCUGGGAAAGUCUGGGAGAAGGUGUCAUGAUUUGGGAUAGCUGUGGCAUCCCAGGAUAACCAGAGCCAGAGCAGCCCAGGAGGGACAAAGGCAGCAUCAAGCCCCCAGUCUCACAUUCUCCCUCUGCUGAAAUCCUACAAUUCUUGGGAAAAAACAAGUGGAGAGGUGAGGAGAAGGCAACCUUGGCCACUCCUGGCACAAAAUCCCAGUGUGACCAUCCCCACUCUGCCCACGCGAAGAUGCCUCCCAUUCCUACGUGAGCUGGCACAGCUUCCAGAGGCCUCAGGAGAUGCAGAGGAGGAUUCACCAUGUGACACCCAGCUGUUUAUGGCAAGGGCUCACUGGUGACCUCCAGGCAAAAUCUUGGCUCUGUAAGAAGUUCCUUUCACAGUGAAACUGGAGGAGUAAAAUGGAUGAGGCCCAGGAAGAUGCAAAGAAACAAGGGUUGAGGUGGGACAGGAAAUAAGGGUUGAGAUGGGGAAGAAAUAAGGGUUGAAAUGGGGAAGAAAUAAGGUUGAGGUGGGACAGGAAAUAAAGGUUCAGAUGGGGAAGAAAUAAGAGUUGGGAUGGAAAAAGAAAUAAGGGUUGAGAGGGGGCAAGAAAUAAGGGUUGAGGUGGGAGAAGAAAUAAGAGUUGGAAUGGAACAAGAAAUAAGGGUUGGGAUGGGGAAGAAAUAAGGGUUGAAAUGGGGAAGAAAUAAGGGUUGAAAUGGGGAAGAAAUAAGGGUUGAGAUGGGACAGGAAAUAAGGGUUGAGGUGGGACAUGAAAUAAGGGCUGAGGUGGGACAAGAAAUAAGAGUUGGGAUGGAACAAGAAAUUAGGGUUGAGAUGGGACAAAAAUAAGGGUUGGGAUGGGACAGGAAAUAAGGGUUGGGAUGGAACAAGAAAUUAGGGUUGAGAUGGGACAAGAAAUAAGGGUUGAGGUGGGACAAAAAUAAAGGUUGGGAUGGGACAGGAAAUAAGGGUUGAGAUGGGACAAGAAAUAAGAGUUGGGAUGGGACAAGAAAUAAGAUUUGGGAUGGAACAAGAAAUAAGAGUUGGGAUGGGACAAGAAAUAAGGGUUGAGGUGCUCUGUGGUUGCAAAGUGGAGGAUCUACAGUCACUGUGCAUAAGAAAAAUCAAACCCCACACAGGCAGUUAAAUCUGUCAUGAAAAAAGCAGGACUGGCAGAAGGGGGAGAGUUAUUAACUGUGAGCAUUGGUUGCUACUUGGUUUUUUUUUCCUGGGAAACAGGGCUUUGUGGGCAUCCUUUGUAAAUAGGAUCUCAGCAAAGGGUCUCUCUGAUGUUGUCAUUAAUUUUUUCCUCCUUCUGUAGCUCAAAUGGUGCCAUAGAAUGUGCUCCUAGGGAAAAAAAAAAGAAAAAAGAUAAAUUGCUUGAAGAAAAAAA